GCCCUACGGGGGAAAGAUUUAUCGGGGAAGGAUUGGCCCGCGUUGGAUUAGCUAGUUGGUGGGGUAAAGGCCUACCAAGGCGACGAUCCAUAGCUGGUCUGAGAGGAUGAUCAGCCACAUUGGGACUGAGACACGGCCCAAACUCCUACGGGAGGCAGCAGUGGGGAAUAUUGGACAAUGGGCGCAAGCCUGAUCCAGCCAUGCCGCGUGAGUGAUGAAGGCCUUAGGGUUGUAAAGCUCUUUCACCGAUGAAGAUAAUGACGGUAGUCGGAGAAGAAGCCCCGGCUAACUUCGUGCCAGCAGCCGCGGUAAUACGAAGGGGGCUAGCGUUGUUCGGAAUUACUGGGCGUAAAGCGCACGUAGGCGGAUAUUUAAGUCAGGGGUGAAAUCCCGCAGCUCAACUGCGGAACUGCCUUUGAUACUGGGUAUCUUGAGUAUGGAAGAGGUAAGUGGAAUUCCGAGUGUAGAGGUGAAAUUCGUAGAUAUUCGGAGGAACACCAGUGGCGAAGGCGGCUUACUGGUCCA
rnacentral:rRNA from 1 species